rnacentral:sRNA from 1 species
CGGAAGGAUGAGAAGCUUCGACUAAGGUUCGACUCGAGCGCAGCGAGAGAACGUUGCCGCAGGCAACGGCCCGAAGGGCGAGGCGCUUUAGCGCCGAGUAAUCCUUCCCCCACCACCA